rnacentral:rRNA from 1 species
GUACAAAUGCUGUAAUAAUAACAUAAGACGAGAAGACCCUAUGGAGCUUUAAACCACUAUAUUACCGAGAAUACAACUAAGACUCACCCUAAUAUACAUUUUUAGUUGGGGCAACUACGGAGCAAAACAAAAACUCCACGCCAAGCACAUAAUAAGCGCACUACUACAGGCCGCCACGCCUCACUAACCCACGACCCAGUAUAACUGACCAUCGAACCAAGUUACCCUAGGGAUAACAGCGCCAUCUUCCCCCAAGAGCCCAUAUCAACGGGGAGGCUUACGACCUCGAUGUUGGAUCAGGACCCCCCGGCGGUGCAGCCGCUGCCAAAGGUUCGUUUGUUCAACGACUAACGUCCU